CCUACGGGGGGCAGCAGCAAGGAAUCUUCCCCAAUGGAGGCAACUCUGAGGGAGCAACGCCGCGUGGAGGAUGACGGCCUUCGGGUUGUAAACUCCUUUUGCAGGGGAUGACAUGGACAGUACCCUGCGAAUCAGCCCCGGCUAACUCUGUGCCAGCAGCCGCGGUAAGACAGAGGGGGCAAGCGUUGUCCGGAAUUACUGGGCGUAAAGCGCGCGCAGACGGUGUGGGAUGUGCCUGGUGACAGUCCGCCGCUCAACGGCGGGAGGUCUGGGUAAACACUCGCACUUGCACCAGAGAGAGGGAUGUGGAAUACCCGGUGGAGCGGUGAAAUGCGUAGAGAUCGGGUGGAACACCAGUGGCGAAGGCGGCAUCCUGGCUCUGUGUGGACGUUGAGGCGCGACAGCGUGGGGAGCAAACGGGAUUAGAUACCCUUGUAGUC
rnacentral:rRNA from 1 species